CGGAGGGAGCUAGCGUUGUUCGGAAUUACUGGGCGUAAAGCGCACGUAGGCGGUUACUCAAGUCAGAGGUGAAAGCCCGGGGCUCAACCCCGGAACUGCCUUUGAAACUAGGUAACUAGAAUCCUGGAGAGGUGAGUGGAAUUCCGAGUGUAGAGGUGAAAUUCGUAGAUAUUCGGAAGAACACCAGUGGCGAAGGCGGCUCACUGGACAGGUAUUGACGCUGAGGUGCGAAAGCGUGGGGAGCAAACAGGAUU
rnacentral:rRNA from 1 species